rnacentral:tRNA from 1 species
UGUUUAUAUAGUUUAAAAAAAACAUAUCAUUUUCAAUGAUAAAUUAAGUAUAAUUUAUAAAUAU